rnacentral:misc_RNA from 1 species
GAUGAAGAACGCAGCGAAAUGCGAUAAGUAAUGUGAAUUGCAGAAUUCAGUGAAUCAUCGAAUCUUUGAACGCACCUUGCGCCCUUUGGACUUCUGAAGGGCAUGCCUGUUUGAGUAUCAUGAACACCUCAACUCCUUAUGGUCUUCCAUGAUGAGCUUGGACUUUGGGGGUUUUGCUGGCCUACAGUCAGCUCCUCUAAAAUAAAUCAGCUUACCGGUGUUUGGUGGGUAUCAUGGGUGUGAUAACUAUCUACGCUCGUGGUUUUCCACCAGGUAACCUUCAGCAGUGGAGGUUCACUGGAGCUCAUAGAUGUCUCUCCUCAGCGAGGACAGCCCUUUGAAUGUUUGAUCUCAAAUCAGGUAGGACUACCCGCUGAACUUAAGCAUAUCAAUAAGCGGAGGA